AAUCUGAAAUCUAGUUUGAUAUUUGAAAUUUAUUCUGUUCUCAUUGAGAAGUCGUUUUGGCGACAUGGAAUGGGAACUGAGUAAAGAGAAUGUUUUACCACGGAAAAAUGGUCGAACAGUUUCACAGCUCGUCUCAGCUUUACAACCCAAAGGAGAUCAUGCUAGCCAGACUCGUGCUACGAAGCAGCAAUUUGAAGAAGAAUUAAGAACAUACCAGGGUAAUGACCCCUUAGAUAUUUGGUUCAGGUAUAUCACAUGGAUGGAAGAAACCAACCCACAGGGUGGGAAGGAUCUUCCCUCUCUGCUCAGAAGCUGUUUGUUAACAUUUUCUGAACUGGACAAGUACAAGAAUGAUCCAAGAUAUGUUGAAAUCUGGGUGAAAUUUGCCAAUCUAUAUGACAAUCCAAUAUUGUUGUAUGAACAUAUGUUUGGUAAAGGAAUUGGUUCUCAGAAUGCAAUGUUUUAUGAAUCCUGGGCCAGUGCGUAUGAACUCCUAGGAAAUAGCAGAAAAGCGGAUGCCAUCUACAGUGAAGGUAUAAGACUGAAAGCGGAGCCCUUCAAUUACUUACAAAGACAACACUAUGAAUUUCAAAGUCGCAUAAUUCUUGGCCAGAUGAAAAAUGCUUCCCUGGCUGAUAAAGACUCUGUGGAUGCUAUUGAGGCUGAAGGCAGAGCCGCUUUUAUGAGUUUGAAGAGCAAUGGGAAGAAAACUUCAGCAAUUAGGCCCCAUGGCCCCCAACCUACUAAAACUGAUGUCAGAGUUCCUGCUCCUGGAGAACGUUGCCAGCAGCUACAACCCAACUUUGAAAUACAUACUGAUGAAAACAAUCCUCCAAGUGACAGCUUACCCCAGUGCAAUGAAUAUGAAAGCAUCCCUUUUAAGACCAAAGUCAAUCGGGAGAAUUGUAGAAAUCCAGGACCUUGGCCACAAAAUAAGAUGACGCCAAAAAAAUCAUUUUCAGUAAUCAAGACAGCCCCAUUUGUUGUGCAGAAUGAUGGCACCGGAUGUUUAGCGACCCCAAAACAUGUACCUGAAAUAGAUAGUAAAGCAUUAAGUGUUCAGAAAACCAAAAAAGAGCCUGUUACACCGAUGGAUGUAAUUAAUGCAGCAGCCAAUGGAAUUAAACAGAUACCUAUGUACUGUAAAGAGAAGGUGUACGCUGGAGUUGAGGAGUUUUCCUUUGAAGAAAUUCGAGCUCUGCGCUGGAAACGGAGGCAUGAAGAACAAAUGUAUCAUUCUCUUGUUGAAAAGAAUAAAAAAUUGAAAGAGGAGCAGCAGCAGAUAUUGUUAAAAAAUGAAGAACUGUUGAUUCAACACCAGGUUUUGCAGAAAUCAUUGGAUGAAAAUGUGGAAAUGAAACCAGUGGAACCACAAGAACGCAGUUUGAAGAAUGCAAGCUCACGUGACUUGACACUGAACGGCAGCCUAAAUCGAUCUGGGCAGCAUACGACCAGCAUUUCGAAAACUCCAGAACCUUUGCAAAAUACUAGUCAGACAGGAUUUAAUUCCAGUUUCCAAAAUAAAGAAGGCCAAAAGUCGACAUAUGCACCAUCUACAACACUGAAUACUAUGGAAGCAAUGGAAGUUGUGAGAGGAUUUUAUUGUGAUUCCAUCAAUCUUGGCAAAGAUACUACAAUUGACAGAGACCAGGAUGCUGAUUAUGCAGGAGAGUCUGAACCAGUAUACCAGGAGCCAGUGCUUAAAGCAGCCCCUUUUGUUAUUUGUGAGGAUGAACAGGAACCUGACCCUCCAGCAGCUGUGAAAAAUGUUAACAAUGUUUUUAUAAGCCCAUCAUCAAAUUCAAACUUCAAAGAUGGAAUCAGCAUAGGAAGAUUAGAUAAAGAAAAAAACGCUGAAAAGGAUGUAAAAUUUCAUUUAACAAUGCCAGACAUGGAUGAAAUUACUCUAGGUUUUGCUAACGAAAGGUCUUCAACCUUCCAAAAACCUGUGAACCCAGCACCUCCACCGAACACUGAGCCAACAUUUCAGAUUUAUGAAGAUGAUCCACUGACCUGUCCUAUAAAUCAAGUGCUUUGUAAAAACUUGGUGUCUACACCGUUUCAUCCAUCAACAAACGUCUUCUCUCUGCCUGAUAUGUCCAACAUCAGUUGUAUCACUACAGAAAAUAUAAUUAUGAUGGAGAAACCGACUGAAAACACAAACAGAACUGCUGCAAUGAGCCCAAUUAAAGAAAGAAGCAAUGAAGGAACACAUUCUAGUCUGGAGAACCGUACAGCUGAUCCGAGUCAUCAUACCAACAGCCACUUCAGUCAAGUAUCUUCCAAGCAGCUUCUUAUUGCUGAUCCAUUCUGCAAAGAGCACCAGAAGAAAGUUCUUGCCAACCUUUCUGAACCAUUAGAGGAUCACGAGUCAUACCAUUGCUUAAAUGAAGACCUGCCAAUUUUGCGAACAAAUGUUCAAGUUUCAAUUGGAUAUUGGAGAGGAUUUAUAGAAAAACAGGUGGCCAAAGGUGGAAAUGGACAGAUAUACAAGCUGUGUACGGAGUGCACCAUGGCUAUUGACAGUGGAAUGUUUGAUGUGGCACUUAAGGUAAUGAAAUUUAGCAAUUUUUGGGAGUUCUACAUUUGCAAUGAAAUUCAGGAACGGCUGAAGAAAUUCCCAAAGGCUUCAAAAAUGUCUUCCUGUUAUCCAGUCAUCAAAGAUGCCUACUAUACAACAACGGCAGCAUUUUAAUAACUCCCUUUUACAAGUAUGGGACAUUGUUGGAUUUUGUAAACAAGAUACAAGCAGAAUUGAGCAACAGCAGUACUUGUGAGGCAUUGGCUGUUUACUUUCUCAUUGAAUUGUUAACUAUUGUUGAUCAUCUACACAAGUGUAAAAUAAUACAUGGAGACAUCAAACCAGACAACAUUGUCAUCAAACUCGGGAAGAAAAUAUCAUCUGAUCUGAAGGUUCCGAUGCUAUUGACAUUAAUUGACUUUGGUGAAGCAAUUGACAUGACUACUUACCCAGACGGAACUCUGUUUCAGGGCAAAGUUUUGACUUCUGGCUUUCAAUGUAUUGAAAUGAAAACUGACAGACCUUGGUCUUAUCAGACUGAUCUGUUUGGCAUUCUUGGAACGAUACACACUGUUCUCUUUGGCAAAUACAUGAAUGUUUUCUAUUCUCAAGGAAAAUGGCUGCUCACCUCCAACUUUCAGCGGAAAUGGAAUAUUCCAUUAUGGAAACAGCUUUUCCAUGACUUGCUCAAUAUUCCAUCAGCAGACCAAUUACCAAAUCUGAUUGAAAUUCGCAAUCAGUUUAUUGAAUAUUUUAAUUCUUCUCUAGUGGACUAUUUUACAAUGGUCAUGUACAAGGAUGUGCAAUAAGCUGGUGUAGACAAUGGCCCUCUGGACAGUCUUUUAAUACUUAAACCAUUGUGUAUUUUGUGUGUGUGUGUGUGUGUAAGUGAGUGUGUCUGUCUGUGUACUGUGAAAGUAAACUGUGUGUGUGUGUGAAAUGUUUUUUUAAAGCAAUGCAGAAAUGAGAUAUGUUUUAAUAAAUCUGAAUCCAAGUCCAUCUGUAAUUUCUACUGUGUACUUUUAUUUUUUUUAAUUUUUAAAUAUACAUUCACAAAUACAUAUUGAUCAAAAUACCAAACUUCCUAUGUGCCAUAGAAAUAUUUGGAAUCUUCUACUCCAAUAAAAAAUUUAAAUCUAUUUCUCCAGUGUUGUAUGCCACAUUAUAUUUUCUGUUAAUUGUGUAUUGAUAUUGGGGUGGAAUAAGAGAUGAGUUGGUUGAAGCUGCAGAACAAAUUGCUUUUUGUUCUGAGUUCCAAUUUCAUGGGUGUU
rnacentral:misc_RNA from 1 species